UAAAAUUAAUUAAUUUUAAAAUUAAAAUAAUUAAAAUAAUUUUUCAAGAAGAUUGAAGAGCAGUAGUCUUUGGAUUUUAUGUGAAAGUGUGACUUGCUCCUAUUUCUCUGAAAACUCAGAAGAAAAAAGGUGGUAGUGGCUGUCAUGUUAAUCUAGCUUUCUGGAAAAUAAAAUUUCUCUACUAAAUAGUUGCUAGUAAAAAAAUGGAAGUAACUUAGAGCGUGUGCAGAAUUUAAUCUAGUACAGAUCAAAGGAAAAGGACAACUACCUUUUCUGAGAGAAGCAUUUAUGUAAAGAAGCAUGUGUACUCCCUUAUGUAAUUCUUUAUUGAGUCUGUAAAUGUAAGAGCCUCUUUUGCUGCUAGUUUCAAAUUCUACUUUCAAGAACCAACUUUAAAAUGGUAAAAAAGAAGAAGCUGUAGUUUGUAUAGUUGGUCUAUCUGCUAGCUGGUCACUGUUACCAGGGAGAUUCUAUCUUGUGGGAAGGAUAGGUUCUGUUGUAUACUGCAUGAUGUUUGUAGCCUCAGUUGGGCUUCAAUUCAUUCUCCCUAUAGAGUGUCAGUAACAGCAAUUCAAUAAAUGUGCAAUGCCUUUGUCAGAAUAUGCUAAUAAUGUUUUAUGAAUACUCCUGAUAAAUUGCUGCUCUUACCCUGAUAAUAAAGGAAAAAUAUGCUUUAUUUCAGGGUACUGGAAUGUGUUUCAGAUAAAAUACAGAAUCAUCACAAGUGUUUUCUGUUCAGGGGAUGCGUGUAGUUAAGCAAAACAGAAGCUUCUGCCCUACCAGCUUUUUAUUUUUCUGAUGCUUGAUAAAAUUUCAACCAGCAAAUGCUGUCCUUGUCUUUGUUUUUCUUUUAAGAUGUGGGUGUUGAAAUAUUUAAAUUAGAGUCUUACUGAAAGGACACUUCACAAUAGAUGUUUCUAAAGGUUAAGAAAACUGAACCUUUUUCAUUCAAAAAUCACUGAUGUCACUAGUGUGCCACUAAAGUGGAUUAGGGAAAUAGGUCUAAAAGUAGCAUUUCCCCUUUCAUUUCCCCAACCACUUGCAAAAAACCACGAGGAGUCAGUUUUUAAAUUUAUAGUUUGACCCAGAUGGAGGUCUUAAAUUCUCUAAUGAAGAGAUGAAAUGCUGUCUUAAAUGCAGCAUUCUAAGAGACUUUAAAAGAUACUGACAAAUCAUCAUACAGGUUGUGUCAGAAUGUUUUAAACUUCCUGUGUGUGCACCUCAGUUCUCUCUGUUAGCUGGAAAGCUGAAGCUUAAUUAUUCUUGACAAGUGAAAAAGCUUUCCUUUAUUUAAAAAAAAAAAAAAAAGGUGCUUUUUUCAGUUUAGUAAAUCUGCUGUGACCAUGUUGUAAUAAAUACAGGUAUUAGAGACAAAAGCACACUCUUAUCAGCCUUGUCUUCAGCUUCUAAAUGUUUCCAGAUUCUUAGCAGGCAUGGUACCAAUGUUAAGGGACAGUAAAUAGAUCUUGUGGCAAGGAAGGUAAUAAUAAUAGCCUUGUGGAAAAUCAGGGUGCAAAUGGAAUUGCCAGGCGUAUACCUUCCCUUGAUUACAAGUUUGAUUUUAUUUAUAGCACAUUAUUACUUACAGAUUAAUACCAGUGUAUUACAGAACUUCUGAGUAGCAUGCUGAGGUUAUCAAGAGCUGGUGGAAUUUUGUGUUACAGUGAAAGGUGAAGGUGGCAGCGCAGCAGUGGAUGUGCAUUGGAAAAUCAAAGGAUAACAAAUCACAACUGAUACAGCCUGGCUUUCGAAUGUAGUGUUGCCCACCAUUUUCUAGAGGAAUGUGUAAGCAUUCUGGAGUUGCCUUUGAAAGUAGCACUACCGAUAUCUUGGACAUACAUAAAAUUUAUGGUGGAAGCCAACUGCUGUCUGCCAUAGCUCGCACCUUCCAGCAGUCCAGAGUGAGAUGGUUCAUUGCUCCUUGCACACACAUCCUACAGCAGUGAAAUACUUGGUUGCCUUUUACACAUGUGCUUGCCAUUUAUGCUGAUAAAAAGAGCAAGUUACACAGAAGUAAGUCUUAGUCCGCUUGAAUACAGAGGACUUCACCAAGAAACCACGGAAAGUUCUGCUAUAUUACAUUAACAGUUUUGUCCCAACCUUCUGGAUGAGAGGAGGGGAGUAUUGCUGUACUGCGACAAUGUUAGUGAUGAAUGGCCAGAAUAAUUAGUGUUCCUCGAUGUACACUGGACAUCUUGGUGCUUCCUUCAAAACUUUGUCUUGAUUUUGAUGCAUUUUUCUCUUACAUACAUGUUGAUGGGCCAAUGUAUGUGAGAGGAAUCCUCAGGCAUUGGUAUUUCAUGUAGAAAACUCAUAAAGAAUUAUGGAUAAUAAAAUUUAUACUGACUUCUGUGGUAGACAUAAACUGAUCUCAUUUAAACAACCCUCAGUCCAUAAUGAGUGGCUGAAGAAGAAGCAUGCAUACCUUGUCUAGAGAAUUAAAACUUUGUUUGGGGUGAGGAUAUCACUUUAAAUCUCAGUUAGGGGCUGCAGAUUCUAGGAGUAAAUCUGUGUAGCAGAUUGGUAGAAUUGCAGUAUUUCCCAGGGCAAAUAAAUUUACUGUUAACAAGAA